rnacentral:lncRNA from 1 species
GGGGCACUGGGGACAAUGGGGACAGUGUGGGUCAGUGGGGGUCAAUGGGGGACAAUGUGGGUCAGUGGGGACAAAGGGGGACAUUGGGGACAAUGAGGUGCAAUGGGGACAGUGGGGACAGUGUGGGUCAGUGGGGGUCAAUGGGGACAGUGGGGGUUAAUGGGGGACACUGGGGUGCAAUGGGGACAUUGGGGGUCAGUGCGGGUCAAUGGGGACAGUGGGGGACAAUGUGGGUCAGUGGGGACAAUGGGGACAGUGUGGGUCAGUGGGGGUCAAUGGGGACAGUGGGGGACAAUGGGGGACACUGGGGACAAUGUGGGUCAGUGGGGGUCAAUGGGGACAGUGGGGACAUUGGGGACAAUGAGGUGCAAUGGGGACAAUGGGGACAGUGGUAGUCAAUGGGGACACUGGGGACAAUGGGGGACAGUGGGGACAAUGAGGUGCAAUGGGGACAGUGGGGACAGUGUGGGUCCAUGGGGGACAAUGGGGGUGAGUGGGGACAACACGGGGGGGCAUUUGGGGACAGUGGGGGUCAAUGGGGACAAUGGGGGACAAUGGAGGACAAUGGGGAACACUGGGGACAAUGGGGACAGCGUGGGGCAGUGGGGACAAUGUGGGGACAGCGUGGGGCAGUGGGGACAUGGGGACG